AGAACGAACGCUGGCGGCAGGCUUAACACAUGCAAGUCGAACGCCCUCUUCGGAGGGAGUGGCAGACGGGUGAGUAACACGUGGGAACCUACCUAGGGGUACGGAAUAACUCGAGGAAACUCGUGCUAAUACCGUAUACGACCUUCGGGUGAAAGAUUUAUCGCCCCUAGAUGGGCCCGCGCUGGAUUAGCUAGUUGGUGGGGUAAAAGCCUACCAAGGCGACGAUCCAUAGCUGGUCUGAGAGGAUGAUCAGCCACACUGGGACUGAGACACGGCCCAGACUCCUACGGGAGGCAGCAGUGGGGAAUCUUGGACAAUGGGGGAAACCCUGAUCCAGCCAUGCCGCGUGAGUGAUGAAGGCCCUAGGGUUGUAAAGCUCUUUCGCCAGGGAAGAUAAUGACGGUACCUGGAUAAGAAGCCCCGGCUAACUCCGUGCCAGCAGCCGCGGUAAUUACGGAGGGGGCUAGCGUUGUUCGGAAUUACUGGGCGUAAAGCGCACGUAGGCGGCUAUCCAAGUUGGGGGUGAAAUCCCUGGGCUUAACCCAGGAACUGCCUUCAAAACUGGAUGGCUAGAGUCCGAGAGAGGUGAGUGGAAUUUCCAGUGUAGAGGUGAAAUUCGUAGAUAUUGGAAAGAACACCAGUGGCGAAGGCGGCUCACUGGCUCGGUACUGACGCUGAGGUGCGACAGCGUGGGGAGCAAACAGGAUUAGAUACCCUAGUAGUCCGCCUAAUGUGCCAGCAGCCGCGGUAGUGCCAGCCGCCGCGGUA
rnacentral:rRNA from 1 species